GACGAACGCUGGCGGCGUGCUUAACACAUGCAAGUCGAACGGAAAGGCCCUGCUUUUGCGGGGUGCUCGAGUGGCGAACGGGUGAGUAACACGUGAGUAACCUGCCCUUGACUUUGGGAUAACUUCAGGAAACUGGGGCUAAUACCGGAUAGGAGCUCCUGCUGCAUGGUGGGGGUUGGAAAGUUUCGGCGGUUGGGGAUGGACUCGCGGCUUAUCAGCUUGUUGGUGGGGUAGUGGCUUACCAAGGCUUUGACGGGUAGCCGGCCUGAGAGGGUGACCGGCCACAUUGGGACUGAGAUACGGCCCAGACUCCAACGGGAGGCAGCAGUGGGGAAUAUUGCACAAUGGGCGGAAGCCUGAGGCAGCAACGCCGCGUGCGGGAUGACGGCCUUCGGGUUGUAAACCGCUUUCGCCUGUGACGAAGCGUGAGUGACGGUAAUGGGUAAAGAAGCACCGGCUAACUACGUG
rnacentral:rRNA from 1 species